rnacentral:lncRNA from 1 species
CAGACACAAUCCCAGCAGUCGGAAGGUCAGGUGGAUAAUGGUGGGGUGAGGAGGAACAGCUCUUCCCCUCUCAGCUGUGGAAACUGCCCCUCUGAUAAACAACACCCCCAACCCCCUGGAACAAAACUAACAGGAAACCCCCGAGGGCAGGAUCCAGCUCCGGCACCCACCCUCCCCACCCAGCAUGAAGCUGACACCCGCCUCCCCUGACAGCAGGCGCUGUGUGUCCUGACCUGCAGGGCAUCCCUCCGCAGCAGGCUGGUGACAUUCCUUGGUUCGCCUCUUCACAGAAAUGAUGAAGAAGCCCAGGCUGGCCUUUUGUUCAUGAGGACACUCGGCGGAAUGUGCCUCUCCGGGAAGCGUUGGGUGCUCGGGCCGGGGUUCUGCUACUCAUGUGGGCUCAGGGUCGGAGACGCCGAGUCUCUGGGGCUCUGAGAUAUUAACAAUCUGCCAUCGUCCCAGAUUCGCCUGUGGCUGCUCAGAUUUCCCCGGCCCGGAAGAAACCGCCCAACAUGUUCCUCGGAACAGAAAUCCAGGAGCAGUUGCCCGGUCCGAGGGGGAGAGCAAGCUGGCUUUGCUCAAGUUUGCUUUUUCUCAGGCUGCAAGCUUAGGGGCCCGGGCCUCCCGUUUUUGCAAAAUGGAUUGUCAGCCGAGUUGAUGAAACAAAAUUUGGGGUUUCAGAGGACACCACCCAGCAUAUCUUAGUAGAUCUUAUUUUUAAAGUCAUGCCAAAUCACUUCCAGGGAAAAAUCGAUCUGUCUCUGAUAGCUUUU